UGGGGGGAUACAUAGAAAUUUUAAUUUAUGUGUUUUGUUUACUUAUUUUGUACUUUGUUUAAAUUUGUUUUUCAAAACUCUAAAAAAAUUUUAAAAUUUCUUUUUUUUUUUCUGUUUUUUUCUUGUAUGGUGCUUGAAAUAUGUUGGCAUUGGGAUUGACGAUGCCUACUGAACUAAAAUGGCGGAUACUUAUAGACCCAUAC
rnacentral:lncRNA from 1 species